UACGUAGGUGACAAGCGUUAUCCGGAUUUACUGGGCGUAAAGGGCGUGUAGGCGGUCUUGCAAGUCAGAAGUGAAAUUCCUGAGCUCAACUCGGGCGCUGCUUCUGAAACUGCAGGACUUGAGUGCUGGAGGGGAUAGCGGAAUUCCUAGUGGAGCGGUAAAAUGCGCAGAUAUUAGGAAGAACACCGGUGGCGAAGGCGGCUAUCUGGACAGUAACUGACGCUGAGGCGCGAAAGCGUGGGGAGCAAAC
rnacentral:rRNA from 1 species